AGAGGAGAUUUCUUCCCCCUGCUUCUCUCCGUUUCCCUCACUCCUCUCCCCUCCCCUCCUCUCCUGUCCCCUCCCCUCCCCCUUCACCAAACCCAGUUCCAUUUGUAUUUUCUUCUUACUAGGUUUUAAAAGAUGUGCAGGGUCCCCCGAGCUAAGAUUGCCCCUCCCCCGCUGUAACAGCGGCUAGAGAAGCAGAUCGAAGCUGCUGGGAACCAGGUCUGCUCAGCUCCAUGGCAGAAACACCAUGAGGACUUUGUGUGGUGGAACUAACUAGGGUUAGCCCAUCACCUUUGUGGCCUCUGCCCUCACCAUUUCCCCGGACACAAACCUCCUCAGAAUGAAGGAAAGAAGAGUUCCGAUGUCUGUCCACCCAGAACCGCCUCCUAACUUUAUUCCUUCUGGCGGCUUCUUCUACUGUUUUACCUUCCCUCAGUGGAAUAACCUUUAGAACAGGCUCAUGUCAGCCCAGAACUCCCUGCUUAAAAAUGUUUGGAUGAAAAAUUGGUCAGAAUGCGUCUGAGUCCCAAGAAACAGAAAGCUCAGAUAGUUGGCCCCACCAUGGAGACACUUAGCAUCUCACUUGACAAGUAGCCUGGGGGAAAUGGCCCCCAGAAGGUGACCAGUAAUUCCACAGCCAGGGCCCAAGUCCCUCCUGCUCCUGGCUCUGGCAUUCCUAGGCUGGACUCUGUCAGUCACCAGGGUAGCUCUUGUAUCCGGAUAUCACAGGGUCUAGCAGGAGAGGGAUACUUUGUCCAUGUGUGUCUGCAACAGGAAAGGGACCUUUAUCCAAGGACUCAGCAAAUCGCCCGUAUGACAGUACUAGCCUCUGAGUCCAACUGCCACCAUCUUUGGGGGACCUGCGGGUCCUGCUCCCAACUUCCCUCAUAGAAGAAAGGAGUGUGGAGGACCAUGGGACCCUCACCUCAAUAUCCAGCCACAUCUCCCAACCAGUUGUGGGCAGUCCUGCCCUGGUUGCCCGUGGCUGUGGGAGGGGCUGGAGGAUAUAGGUGGGAAAAGGUGAAGGAAGGGGGUUUAGUCCUCAACCACCGGGAAGAUAUCAUCCCUGUGGGUGCGAACCUUCCAGGCGGGCUACUUUAAGGUUACCCAGGCUCCUGACUGUAUCCCCUCACCCCCUGCUCUGUAAGUAACCCUAAUGAACUCACUGGUUCCCCCAGGUGAAA